UUAAUGCCAUUAAUGGCUAAAAUUCACUGAGCAUUGUUGCACUUAAGACUUAAACGUAAGGCCUAAAUACUAAAUAAAAUUAUUACGUUAGCUUAAUUUUCGUGACAGCUUUUCUCUUCUUUUUUGCCAUGCUUAAUUUAAGUCACUUUCAUGUGCUGGUAGCUUAAAAUAAAACUUGUUUAGGAAGUUUAUUUCUUUCUCCCUUUCAUAAUGCUGCAAAUAUGAGUUCACCCAAAAAAAAGGGAAGAUCUGAUUUUUACCAGUAAUAAGACUACAGCAUACUAAAUGACACAAGAUGUUCUUUCUCUAUUACCUCUUACAUUUGACAUAAAAGCAGGAAAAGGUUUAACAGUCUAUGCCUACAACAUAGAUCUCCAGGACUAAAAGUGCAAAAAAUUGCAAUCAGUAUAUCACAAGUGUUAUAACACAAGCAUCUAAUCUGCUUCAGUGGCCAGAACUGGGUGAAUCCUCUCAAACAUUAAUCAGGAACUAGGCAUACCUAAUGAGCAUCAAGCUGAUACAGUAGAUGUACAGAAGAAUUUUUACACAAGGAAGUGAAAAGUGAUGUAAAAGGCAACUAAUACUUCCAUCUUCCAUAGUUAAACAAGAAUCUGCAAAUGAUGAUAAUUGCAAUAAUCUUGAUAUAUUAAUGUUUGGCUUUAUAAUUAUAUGCAAUUGUCAGG